UACGCGACAGCGUUGGGUGGUGGGCCUUCACGUGGGGAGAGUCGACGGAUCUGACGAUAGUUUGGACGGCCGUCAGUCUCCAGCGAGGUGGGCCGUGGAACAAAAUCGGUGUUCUCCGUCUGAUCCGUGGACCAGGACAAUUGCUGAGGGCUGCGGGUACGGUGUGGGACAUUUGGAGGAAGCUGAGGACUGUGGCACAGAGGCGAUGAGCAUGCAGCCUAUCAGCAGAUCCAGUCCGCUGGAGGAGGUAGGGAAUAGCUUGGUGCCGGCUGCUAGUUGUCAUUGUCUUUGGUGUGGGGGAUUUGUAGGCGGUACCGCAGGCUGAGGACGACGCGGCACACCAGCGGACAGCAGAUAGCGGUGGCGAGCAGAAGAAAGAGCUCGCCGCCGACGUCGGAGCUGUCAACGGGAAGACGAAUCCCCGAGCACCGGGGUGGAACAAGAGGCUAAGGAUUGGUAUUGCCUCCCCGAGCAAAACACCGCGCCUAAACCGAGUAAGUAUGUUCUAAAAGGCAGUCAGGUGUUUUGCGGAGAACCCAACUGAAAAUGUGAUGACAUUGGUUCUUGGCACUACUUUCACCUCUGUGGCCGAGGCAUAUGAUUUCUACAAUUUGUAUUCAUGGGAAAAGGGGUUUUCCAUCCGGUACGACAAGAGCCGGCUACAUGUCCAGAGGACAAAGUGCAUGCAGGAGAUAGUUUGUGGGUGCUCGGUUAGUGACUAAUUUGCUUUUGCUGGUUUGUGAUCAGUAAUUCGAUUCAGUUUGUGAAUUUUUUUGCCGGGUAAGGCUGGGGUUGAGAACACAAGGUCUUGCCGUGGCCCAUAACGUUACAUUCCGUCUGGCUGCGGGGACAGGAACUUCACUUUUCCAUUUGACAGAAGGUUGCAAUUAUCCAGUUCUUCCUAGACAGAAGAGAAGCUGGGGCGGCGGCGUGCUUGCUUGCGUAGGAGGGCGACGCCAUUGAAGACAUGGAAUUCUUUCGACAGCCGGUUAACAGGAUUCCAAUCCUUGAGGGGAUGGAUGGCACCGAUCAACUGCUGGAUAUGGGGAAGUACGCCUGCCGGCCCUUGGAGCUCCACUGCUGGCAGCCAUGAGUCAUAAGCAGUGGAAGUGAUGAGUGGGAGGCAUAGCUCCUAGAUGUGGAUGCCGGACCAGUUAAGGGGAAGCGCAACUCUCUGACUAUAUCUCAGCAAUCAAUGGGGAAGGUGAAUCCAGAGACUCCUGGAUGGACAAAAAGAUUUGCUUAAGAUCACGGAAGCUUGGGUUGAUGGAGUGCUUGUAUUUAGUUUUUGUUUUGACCUUGUGAAACUUGCUACCUAUGGAUGAAACUAUGUAUAUGUACGGAUGAAACUUGCUACUAUUGGUAACAUGUAUUGGAUAUAUGUGUUCAUGACUAUUGGUAAUAUGUGUUGAAUAUGCUAUAUUGGUCAUAUAAAUAUAUUUGUGUUUGAUUUUCUGUGAAAA